GGCCUCUGCUCCGCUGGCAUCGGAUUAGAAAGCUUACUUGUUCAAUUCCAGACAAAAGUUUUUUCUCACACACAAAUGGGAUUAAUUUCAUCACGGUGCUGCGGGAAGCAUUGUAGCUUUAGAAAGGGACCCGGAGUAACAACGUCUCCAGUCUCCGUGCCGGUUGUCGCGGAGGGAUGAUCCCGACUUUCUAUUUUGUGUGAACUUCUUUCUUUUGCUUAAAUCUGUGAAAUACCGUCGGCUCAGAGAUCAGGAUCACAUUCCCUCUGUGGGAAUCGGAGCCGCCGCCGCCGCCCUUUUGCUCUCCUGUUCUUUUCUUAUUAGAAGUGUGUAAACUUUGGAUUGUGAUUCACCGAGCGACUCCAACGAGCUGCGACUCUCUGAACAACGUUUCCCGAGAAAAAGAUCUUUGAGCUCCUUUAAAGGAAAAUCUGAAGGAUGGAAUCAUUCGUCCUUAGAGCUUUAGACUAACACAUUCCUUGAUCCGCGUUUUCUCCGCUGCAGCCGCAGACGGUCUGUCUUUGUCUUAAUCCCCCAGCUCCCGAGCUUCAGCCCUCGUUUGGACUCUCGUCUUGUCAACGUGUCAGGAUUUCAAAACAAAUACGGUGAAAUAUGGUGAACUUGACCUCGGCUGGUCUCCGCACGCCAGAUCGGCGUGUAGGAAACAUUCCAAACGUUCUUCUGGACCGACAGCAGUGCGUUGGGAGUGGGAAGCUCUUCCUGUGUGACGUGUAGGAUACAUCGCUUUAAAAAAAAAAAAAGCAGGAAAACUACAGAUUUAUUUCUUUUCCACGAAACUUGUUGGAAAGAUGGGAACGCCCCCCUGGUGGCUGACUGCGGUAAAGCUCCUAAGCCCCACCCCCUCCAUGUUUUGUGCCUUCCCAGAAGUUCAUGGCUGUAUGGAAAUUUGCGUCCCCCCAUAGAGGAAAAAACUUAGUCCACAAAAGUUCCACUCAAUCCACUGUCAGGCUGAUAUAUUAGGUAUUUAAUAUUUGACAGUAUAAUGAGCUGGGGAAGUCAUGCUGUGAAGGUAAUAAACCGUGUAGGUUUUUUAAUAAUCCACUUCCUCGAGCAUCGAGGACGGAAUUCCAUCUUCCACUUUAUAUGUAUAUAAAAUGUUAUCAUUUCUUCUUCUCCCGGAAUGACACAAACAAGACUCUUAAGAGAGACGACCAUCACUCUCUCACACACACACACACACACACACACACACACACACACACACACACACACACACACACACACACACACACACACACACACACACACACACACACACACACACACACACACACACACACACACACACACACACACACACACACACACACAAGCUCUCAUGGUGUUGUCGGCCUCAGACGUACCUCGUUUUCAGUUUUCCGUAGUGUCGGAGCAGGAGAUUUUCCGAGUCAGGCGCGUUCAAGCCGACAGGGAGGUUUUCCGGAUGUUCAGUGGCGUCUUGCAGCAGGAGGAAGGACGCGAUCAUGACCCCGCUGCAGAAAGAAAGAAAAGAGUUCUUGUAUUUACGGCCGUCAACACGAGAUUCUCCUGCUGCAGAAGUUCAGAUUGACGUCACAGUCUCGAGGUCCUUUUCAAUUUGACCCAUUUGACCUUUUUAACUAACAAGUAAUGUCAUUAUUGAUUGAUCAGUUAAUUUUUUCACAGUCAGACUGACUGACUGACUGACUGCUGUCGGUGUCGCUUACUCUUUUUCUGUGGACGUGAAAUUUCCAUGAAGUAGUAAAUUGGCGGCCGGUGUCACAGUGAAUGGAUUUGUUAGCGCGUGAGUGACCACAGCGGGAGAUUGGCUGUCAUAUUUCAUUCUGGCAUUCAUCGACGUCGCCAAUCUGCUACACAGCGAUGCCAGGUGUGUGUGUGUGUGUGUGUGUAUGCAAAUGUUUCUCUGAGCAUUUGUGUGUAUUUGUGUGUGUGUUUCUGCCACUGUGGGUAAUAAACAAGCUUGUUGGGGGAAGCUGAGGCAGUGAUCAGAGAACACUCGUCAUAUUAAGCCUUUAAAAAAACACACACACACACACACUGACUCACACGCACACACACUUCCGGGAUUUAGAAAACGUUCAUUCUAAUCCCCCGAAAUUUACGAUGAGAAUCUGCUGCUUCAUGUGGCAACAGAGUUGGAGCCUCAGCAGAAUUAGGUAGAAAUAUAUAUCCUUUAUAUAUAAACUGAUCGAUGUCAGUUGGACUUGUUCCCAUUAAAAAAUAUAUAUAUUUUUUGAAACCGGAUUUCAAGAAAAUUGGAAAAAAGAAUUAUAGCAUUUGUUUCUCUCAAUGCACAAACUGCUCCAGCUCAGCCAAGUGUGAAUAAAGUUUAAUUGAUUGAUUAAUUGGUAAACUUGUAUUCAAUUUUACUUGAACCGAUGUCAAAUUGUAAUUUGUGCAACUCCAGUAUUUUGUCAGAUUAAUAAUCCUCUCUUUCCGUGGUUCUACCAGGGGAAACGCCUCCCAAAAAACAUCCCCUGAUAGAAUAAUUGAUUUACAACUUCAUUCGAUCCGCCGACACACACUUCAUCAGAACUAAUUGGUGUACGGUGUAAACACUGAGUCUCUCCACGUCCCUUCCUCUCUCGCUCUAAAAAAAAAAUAAAAAUCAAUGACCAGGAGAAAGAACUACAACAACAACGGCAUCACACACUUCCCCGAUGAGAUGGAAAUUAUUUAAACAAAUGUUUCUCCUUGAAAUCACUUUGGUCGCGACGCAGGCAAUCUGGGAAUCGCCGACGUUCCGAGGGGGGACGAUUGCACUCGUGUGUGUGUGUGUGUGUGUGUGUGUGUGUGUGUGUGUGGUGUUCACGUCCUCUGCAGACACCGCCACUCUGCUGCAUUCAAUUUCCAGACGUAUAAAUUUGUCCUCCACCUUCCCCUUGACUUUACCUGUCUGCACACGUCCUCACCAGGAAGUGACGGAUCAGGAAGUUCAACUGGAGAGAAACAGAGCAGAAGAGGUGGCAGGAGGGGAAUGGGAACGACGCGGCUCGGGUUGAGACCGGGAUCACGGAUCAGGUCGUGUGUGUUCGCUCGGAGAAGUUCAGACGUUACGGGACGUAUGAAGCAGCCUGUGUUGUGGAAGGCCGUUCGACCGACAGAGGACGGAGCGUCACGAAAGAGGCUUCACACCGGCAAUAAUGAGUAAAGUAAAUCUGAAGCUGACGUUGGGAGAAGGAUUUUCACAAGUACGACCGGAGUGCAAACGCAAACUCAUUCGCCUCUGCACAAGAGAUUUGUGGAAGGACAAACAGUUUUCAUGGUUCAACAUUGUGCCAGAGAGUUUGUGUCCCAUCACGAUCAGCCGCUAGUAGAAGGUCGUCUCUUACGAUUCGGGAGUGACCCGAGGAAGAACCCGCGAAAUUGUAGAGCGGAUCAGGAUGAACGGGUGGACCCGGGGAUUUCUUCAACGUGGCGCGGCCUCGGCGAGGUACAGGAGAGAGGAGUGCCCGCUCCGAGCCCCUUCCAGGACAAAGUUCGGUGAAGUCGCGAUUCCCAGCCGCCGCCACUGCUGCGGAUCGCCGUUCGUCUGUUUAUUCAAACUUCAUCCAUAGUGAACGUUUCUUGCAUCCAAAUUGUACCAAGUUCUCUGCUGCAGUCUCUCAAUGACUCACCUGCCAAGUUUGAGGAAGACCGGACUAAAGGUUCUGGAGAUACUCGACUUAGGGACAGACAGAGAUUCCACGCGUUGUAGUAAGAUUCAUAGAAUUUGAUCUCUGUUGAAUGUGUACGUGAAGCUCCCUCCAACUGAACCCCGUUUCUAAACCCUCUCCGUCCCUUACAGACACGACCAUGUUACAAUUCUUCACUUCAAGCUCUGAGAAGUUAUUUCUUGAGCUUCGGGAGACGAAUUUAAAGUGCGCGAGCAGCAACCGGUCGUCAUUAUCAUUCGAACGAUGCCCCAUAAUUGGCCAAUUGGUUCAGGAUCCGACUGCCAGACUCAAUCAAUUCUCCCUUCGACGUUUUCCCCCCGGACUCUUCUCUCGUCGCAGGAUAUCGAGGCUCAUCAAGGGUCCGACUGCAACGAGUCCAACAUUUCAUCCCUGCUGCUACUUUUACUUCUUCUCACUCGUGUUAUGUAUGUUCAUAUAAAAUCUUCUCCUAUCACGCAGGUGUCGAGCCUCAAAAGGUGAUUCUGGUCUCGGUGUGGUCGUAACUGUUUUUAAAGAUGCUUCAUAAACAUCCUGGUUGUUUGCUCUCACUCCCCCUUCGUCUCGAUUGGUCCCUGACGUCUCUGACUUUCUCCCUCAACCCGCUGCUCUUCUGUCUGAAGACGGUCUCAGGAGGUCGGCUGCUU